CAAUAGCGUAUAUUAAAGUUGUUGCGGUUAAAAAGCUCGUAGUUGGAUUUCUGCCGAGGACGACCGGUCCGCCCCCUGGGUGAGUAUCUGGCUCGGCCUGGGCAUCUUCUUGGAGAACGUAGCUGCACUUGACUGUGUGGUGCGGUAUCCAGGACUUUUACUUUGAGGAAAUUAGAGUGUUUCAAGCAGGCUUACGCCUUGAAUACAUUAGCAUGGAAUAAUAAGAUAGGACCUCGGUUCUAUUUUGUUGGUUUCUAGAGUUGAGGUAAUGAUUAAUAGGGAUAGUUGGGGGCAUUCGUAUUUAACUGUCAGAGGUGAAAUUCUUGGAUUUGUUAAAGACGGACUACCGCGAAAGCAUUUGCCAAGGAUGUUUUCAUUGA
rnacentral:rRNA from 1 species